ACUCCAGUAAACCCCCUGCACUUUACUGCACUCCAGUAAACCCCCUGCACUAUACUGCACUCCCGUAAAACUCCUGAAAACUCACUGCACUAUACUGCACUCCCGUAAACCCCCUGAAUUAUACUGAACUCCAGUAAACCCCCUGCACUAUACUGCUUUUCCGAAAAGCCCCUGAACUAUACUGCACACCCGUAAACCACCUGCACUAUAUUGCACUCCUGAAAACUCACUGCACUAUUUUGCACUCCCGUAAACCCACUGCACUAUACCUAACCCUUACCCUAAACCCCAUGCACUAUACUGCACUUCCGUAAACCUACUGCACUAUUCUUCCCUGCACUAUACCCGUAAACCCACUUCACUAUACUGCACUCCUCUGUACCCCCUGCACUGUAUUGCGCUAUAUUGCACUAAAUAUUUCCCUCUACAAUGCUUCAUUCCUUACAUUAGCACCAUUCUUAAUAUUGUUACAAUUUGUUACAAUUUGGGAUUUGAACCUCGACCACUGCGAAGUACUAGAUCUAGCAAGCCAGCACCCAGUCAACUCUGCUAUCCCGCUACAUGCCGAUUAUUAAAAAUUUAUCUUUAUGAGUUACUAUAUUGGACGCAUAAACAUUUUGCCUUUUUGUACAGCAGAUACUUAUUGAAUGAAACGCAAAAAUAUUUGUAUUAGAACUAAAUAUGUAUGAUUUAAAGCAUAUUAUAAGAGGUAAUUACUUUCUCCCCCAAUUUAUAGCAGUUUGAAAUUUAGUUAUUUAGUUGAUAGGCCAUUUCAUUCCAUAAACAAGACAACAUGUAUUAUUUGGCUUUAAGUAAACAUUCACAUUCACUUAUUUGUUCAUUUUAUCCUCUGUCCCAAAGACUCUUACGUUUGCUGCUAACUACAAUCGUUUAGAACAAUCUACAUAUUCAUUAUGUAAAAAAAGGUCUUAAUGUACUAACUUUUUAUUCAAUCAUCCCGCCAGUAUCAGGACAUGUGAAGAUGAUGUAUUCCACUAGAGUGUAGAGAUGAUGUGUUCUACUAGAGUGUAGUGAUGAAGUGUUCCACUAGAGUGUAAAGAUGAUGUGUUCUACUAGAGUGUAGUGAUGAUGUAUUCUACUAGAGUGUAGAGAUGCUGUGUUCCACCAGAGUGUAGAGAUUGUGUGUUCCACUAGAGUUUAGUGAGUGUAGUGUUAAUGUGUUCCACUAGAGUAUAGUGAUGAUGUUUUCUACUGGAGUAUAGUGAUGAUGUUUUCUACUGGAGUGUAGUGAUGAUGUAUUCUACUAGAGUGUAGAGGUGCUGUGUUCCACCAGAGGGUAGAGAUGGUGUGUUCCACUAGAGUGUAGUGAGUGUUCUGUUGAUGUGUUCUACUAGAGUAUAUUGAUGAUGUUUUCUACUGGAGUGUAGAGAUGAUGUUUCCACUAGACUGUAGAGAUGAUGUGUUCUCUUGAUGUGUUCCACUAGAGUAUAGUGAUGAUGUUUUCUACUGGAGUGUAGAGAUGAUGUUUUCCACUAGACUGUAGAGAUGAUGUGUUCCGUUAGAGUGUAAAGAUGAUGUGUUCUACUGGAGUGUAGAGAUGAUGUGUUCCACUAUGUCGUUAUAAUGUUUUCUGACAAAGAAAUAUUUAAGUUGAAUGAUAGAAUCACCACCCUCCUAAACAUUACUUAGCACUCUUUUAAUAAAUCCUAAACUGCUCUCUUAAACAAAAAUCCUUUAACAUUUUCCUAAACAAUCCUUUACCACUUGCCUAAACAUUCCUUUACCUCUCUCCUAAAAAAUCUUUAACCAUUCUCCUAAACAAUCCUUUACACAUCUCUUUAAAAGAACUUAACCGCUCUUCUUAACAAUCCUUUACAAAUCUCUUAAAAAGAACUUAACCGCUCUUCUUUACAAUCCUUUACACACCUCUUAAAAAGAACUUAACCGCUCUUCUUAACAAUCCUUUACCACUCCCCUAAACAAUCCUUUACCACUCUCCUAAACAAUCUUUUAGAACUGAUCUUCUAAUGAAAAAUGUAUAGUUGAGUGAAGCAUUAAACUAUGUGUCACAUU